GCAAGUCGGGCGGUAACACAGGGAGCUUGCUCCUGGGUGACGAGCGGCGGACGGGUGAGUAAUGUCUGGGAAACUGCCUGAUGGAGGGGGAUAACUACUGGAAACGGUAGCUAAUACCGCAUAACGUCGCAAGACCAAAGAGGGGGACCUUCGGGCCUCUUGCCAUCAGAUGUGCCCAGAUGGGAUUAGCUAGUAGGUGGGGUAAUGGCUCACCUAGGCGACGAUCCCUAGCUGGUCUGAGAGGAUGACCAGCCACACUGGAACUGAGACACGGUCC
rnacentral:rRNA from 1 species